rnacentral:rRNA from 1 species
AAUAGCCUAACGGCUGAACCAGCAACUUGGAGGAACGUAUAGCGAAAGCUAGUUGCAUUUAAUUUAGCGAAAGCUAAACUGGUGCAGAAUUGAUUCUAUCAAAUAAAGUUCUAGACAGGUUAUGAUGAUGACAUUUCCUAUCUAUGUGUCUUGACCAAAUUACGUGCCAGCAGUCGCGGUAACACGUAGAAGACUAGUGUUAUUCAUCUUUAAUAGGUUUAAAGGGUACCUAGACGGUAAAUCCAGUCCAAAAAGGAUACUAAUUUGCUAGAGUUUAAUGUGAGGGGGCACUAAAGUACUGAUAAGUGUAGAGAUGAAAUUCUGUGAUACAAUAUAAGGACAGGUAAAGGCGAAAGCAUCUCAUUAUGUAAUAACUGACGUUGAGGGACGAAGGCUAGGAGAAGCAAAAAGGAUUAGAUACCCAAGUAGUCUUAGCAGAAAAUUAUGAAUGUCAUAGGAUGGAAAUAGUGGAUAACCAUUUUUUUUUCUAUAAAUGAAAGUGUAAGCAUUCCACCUCGAGAGUAAUUUGGCAACAUUGGAACUGAAAUCAUUAGACCGUUUCUGAAACAAGUAGUGAAGUAUGUUGUUUAAUUUGAUGGUCCGCAAAAAACCUUACCACAAUUUGAAUAGAAAUUUUUAUUUUUUACAAGCGCUGCACGGUUGUCUCCAGUUAAUGUCGUGAGAUCUUGGUUAGUUCCAUUAAAUUAACGUAAACCCUUACUUUAUUUAUAUAUAGAGUAGUUCACCGCUAGAUUGGAUGUGAUAACAGGGACUAAGACAAGUCAUCAUGGCCUUAAUAUUGUGGGCUAUAGACGUGCCACAUAUGCCUUACAAAGGGAUG